GAUCACUAGAAGCCUGGCUCAGCUAGGGCUAUUCACCAUGGUGGCUACAUAUGGCCUCUCCAGUAUGGUGAUCUCGGGUUAGUUGAAUUUUUACAUUAUAGCCCAAGACUAGCAAACAUAGUGUUUGAAGAAGCUUGAGUGGAAGCUUCAAGACUUCUUAUGACCAAGAUUAGAAGUCCUAGGAUGUCACUUCUACCAUUUUCUACUGCUCAGGAAAGUCACCAAGACCAGCCCAAAUCCAAAGAGAGAGGAAUUAGAUUUCACCUCUCAGUGGGAGAAGUACCAUACUAAAGACUAUAUGACCAUCUUUGGCCUGAAGUUUCUCACUCAUUAACCUGGAGCAACAAAAUGGAAAGAAUUCUGAUGACAAAGCAGAGAACCUGUCCCUUUGCUGGCUCUGAGGAUGACUGACUCUGUUGUGUGGGCGAGGUCUGCAGAUAGAAGCCAGCUCUGCUCUCUCCACUGAAAUGAAAACUAUAGAGAUGAACUAGAGAGACAAUGGAAUACUGUCCUGUGGCUGAGUCCUGCUGAAACCUGGUGAUGACACACAGAAGCAGGGUGAAUAUUCAAGAAAUACUGUUAAAUCACAAACUACUCAGAUGCAAACACAAGAGUGCAUGCUGGAACUGGCUUAUGAAACACAAGCCAGCUGGCUGCCCUAGAAAAAGUCUGAGGAAAAAGCCUUCUUCAUCUAAUUCAUAAAUGGGAAAUUGAAUUUCCAGGCUUAGCUGGCUUAUUUUUAUCUUCUUUUGUUUGUUUGAACUAUGUAUUGCUGAAUAACUGUGACAACAUU